UACGUAGGCAGCAAGCGUUGUUCGGAGUUACUGGGCGUAAAGGGUGCGUAGGCGGCUUUUUAAGUUUGGUGUGAAAUCUCCCGGCUCAACUGGGAGGGUGCGCCGAAUACUGAGAGGCUAGAGUGUGGGAGAGGAAAGUGGAAUUCCUGGUGUAGCGGUGAAAUACGUAGAUAUCAGGAGGAACACCGGUGGUGUAAACGGCUUCUGGACCAUAACUGACGCUGAGGCACGAAAGCGUGGGUAGCAAACAGG
rnacentral:rRNA from 1 species